AGUUCGGUCUCAUUGUACCCGUCAUCAUAUUUUUGGUCUGAUGUUCAAAAAUACAAAGACUUAAAUCCAAUGCUUAACCAAUCUUUUGGGAAGUUUGUCCAUACAGGAAAAAAUACACUUCCUCUUGCACGUGUUAAAGUGUUUUAUGAAACCAUGGAAGUCAAAUCAAGGGAGGAGUUACGUGCCUACGAUAUUGAAGAUUUUUUUGGUGAUUUGGGAGGUUUUCUUGGUUUGUGUCUUGGUUGCAGCGUUCUUACUUUGGGUGAAGUCGUCGACGCCAUCGUUUCCUGGUGUUUGAUGWGCAGGCGCAAUAAAAAUCGCGUUGUCGAUUUCAAAAAGUAAUGUCCAGCGAUUUACGCUUAUCGCUCCAGCGGUCUGCUUCAUUACAAUGACAUUUGACAUUUAAACAAGUAUUGGCAACAGAAAAUACCUUGUAUAUGUUUUAAAUCUAACGUUAACACGAAUCUAACACUCAUCGCACUUUAGGCACUUUAGGCAAAGAUCAAUAGAUGUAUGUUAAUAACCUGGCUGCUUUGCCAACUCACUUACAAGUAUGUUCAUUAUUGCUCAAAUAAUGCGGGCACU